rnacentral:rRNA from 1 species
UACGGAGGGGGCUAGCGUUGUUCGGAAUUACUGGGCGUAAAGCGCACGUAGGCGGCUUUGCAAGUUAGAGGUGAAAGCCCGGGGCUCAACUCCGGAAUUGCCUUUAAAACUGCAUCGCUAGAAUUGUGGAGAGAUAAGUGGAAUUCCGAGUGUAGAGGUGAAAUUCGUAGAUAUUCGGAAGAACACCAGUGGCGAAGGCGACUUACUGGACACAUAUUGACGCUGAGGUGCGAAAGCGUGGGGAGCAAACAGG